GCGGGUGUAGUUCAAUGGUAGAACACCAGCCUUCCAAGCUGGUCACGUGAGUUCGAUUCUCAUCACCCGCU
rnacentral:tRNA from 1 species